rnacentral:rRNA from 1 species
GACGAACGCUGGCGGCGUGCCUAAUACAUGCAAGUCGAACGCUUCUUUCCUCCCGAGUGCUUGCACUCAAUUGGAAAGGGGAGUGGCGGACGGGUGAGUAACACGUGGGUAACCUACCCAUCAGAGGGGGAUAACACUUGGAAACAGGUGCUAAUACCGCAUAACAGUUUAUGCCGCAUGGCAUAAGAGUGAAAGGCGCUUUCGGGUGUCGCUGAUGGAUGGACCCGCGGUGCAUUAGCUAGUUGGUGAGGUAACGGCUCACCAAGUCCACGAUGCAUAGCCGACCUGAGAGGGUGAUCGGCCACACUGGGACUGAGACACGGCCCAGACUCCUACGGGAGGCAGCAGUAGGGAAUCUUCGGCAAUGGACGAAAGUCUGACCGAGCAACGCCGCGUGAGUGAAGAAGGUUUUCGGAUCGUAAAACUCUGUUGUUAGAGAAGAACAAGGACGUUAGUAACUGAACGUCCCCUGACGGUAUCUAACCAGAAAGCCACGGCUAACUACGUG